CCUCUAGCGCGGGGCGGAAGACCCGCGAAGUGUUCAAGCGGCCGCAGAGCGGCCCAGAGUUCGCAGGUCUGGGGCUCUCUUCCCAGAGAGCUCGUAGGGGAGGACAGUCAAGGGACUCAAGCGUCUCUCUUGACUCCCCUUCUCUCGCUGUGCAGUGGCGGCGCCGAGGGGUCGACGCUCAGGGCUAAUCUCUAUGAGUCACCCUCGAGGCCCCGGGUAAGAUUGGGUGGAUCACAAGAACUAAUCUUUCAUGAUUUGGAAACCGGAAGGAAAGAAGCACUUUUGUAGCUGACUUACCUCAAUGACAUGACCAGUGUCUGAGCCUACAACUGCGCUAUCUUCCCUGGAUUUUUCUUCACCUUUUCCUUACUCAUGAGCCAGGACAUGAACCUGGAGCCUGCCCGGAUGCGAAAGGAGCUGUAACACUGAAUCCCUCUCACCCUAUGCCAGUGCUGGAUGGCUGUCCCAUGUGAUGGGAAGUGGUGGUGGGGCCAGGCCAGCCCAGGAGCCAUCAUGGGCCAGAGUGGGGCAGCAGGACCAAACAAGCUAUAACACAAAUAAGCUGAAACAUGUUCCUGGCUGGCCUGCCAAGCUGCCAGCAGUGACAUGUUCCCAUUCGCCAGACUACAGGCCAAGGACAAGGCCUAGUUGAGAAGAGGACUCAGAGAAGCCUGAAUAAUGAACUGCAUGUCCAAGGAGCUAUACAUUUGCUAGAAGGGGAUGACCAAUUCAGCUCUGAGUUUCCUGGGAGCCAAAGCCAAGAGCUCCAUGUCCACAAGAUCGAAGACCAAGUACUCAGAAGAACAGCUUUUCCUGAUACUAGGAGUUAAGAGAAGCUUUCUCCAGGAACUCUCAUAGAGACAACUUGCAUGAUGCAGUGGACAGCACCCUUAGCAUGCUCCACAAGGGUCAUUCUGCAGUCUCUUUCAGCACUGGAUAACGGCACUCUGUCUCAAAAGUAGACUCUAGACUUGCAGCUUAUGAGCCAAGAGACAAGAAAACUGUGGCUCAGUGAAGAAGAUGUGGAGCUAGGACUUGAGAGAGAGACACUUAUAAUGCAGUAGUUGAAAACCUGC
rnacentral:lncRNA from 1 species